UCAAUCUAUCGAACACUUAAACUUAUUGAAAGAACAAAGCAUAAGCCAUUCUUAUUGGUACUUUCUCUGUGCAAGCGACCAACAAACCUAGUCGAUAUGUACGAGCCAAAUGAUCGGUUAAAUGAUCACCAAGCAGUAGAGCAAUCGUAUCACAUAAACCUAGGAUUAAUACUUCUGAUUCAAACGCACAAAGCACCUUCACUUAACGCGAAGCACCAAUCAUCCAAACUAACUAACAAAGUGGAACACACAAGACAAGAACUCGGAAUUAAUGAAGGUGUAUCAAAAAAACUUGAACAUGAAUGUACCUAACUUUUUUGUCGCCUCGGAUUUUCAACGGGGAUUACAAUUUGAGAUGACACAUUGAUAGGGGAAAGAGGAAAAUGUGUGAACAAUAUGCAACAUCAGAACAGUAUCUUAGAAUCAUAUAUACUAAAUUGAUAUUGUAUAAACCAUUUCAUUGAGUUU
rnacentral:misc_RNA from 1 species